rnacentral:rRNA from 1 species
UACGUAGGGUGCAAGCGUUAAUCGGAAUUACUGGGCGUAAAGCGUGCGUAGGCGGUUCUCCAAGUCCGUUGUGAAAGCCCCGGGCUCAACCUGGGAAUGGCAGUGGAAACUAGGGGACUGGAAUCUGGCAGAGGGGGGUGGAAUGCCGCGUGUAGCAGUGAAAUGCGUAGAGAUGCGGCGGAACACCGAUGGCGAAGGCAGCCCCCUGGGCUGAGAUUGACGCUCAGGCACGAAAGCGUGGGGAGCGAACAGG